AUACGUAGGGGGGCCAGCGUUGUCCGGAUUCAUUGGGCGUAAAGCGCGUGUAGGCGGCCAGGUAGGUCCGAUGUGAAAUCUGGAGGCUCAACCUCCAGCGGUCAUUGGAAACCAUCUGGCUAGAGUCCGGAAGAGGAUAGUGGAAUUCCUGGUGUAGCGGUGAAAUGCGUAGAUAUCAGGAAGAACACCGGUGGCGAAGGCGGCUAUCUGGUCCGUUACUGACGCUGAGGCGCGAAAGCCAGGGGAGCAAACGGG
rnacentral:rRNA from 1 species